rnacentral:misc_RNA from 1 species
CAAGAUUGGAUGCAACAUAACCGGUGAAGAGGGAAAUCAAACCUAAGGCAAACAGCAUGAACCCACAAACUUUGGUAUAUGGGAUCGAUCGCCUCCAUAACCAACAGGUAAAGAAGAAAUGCUGCUUCUGGGUAUUAGCCAAUACCCCACAACUAUACCUCCAAACUUUCGCCACACCCAUAUCUACAGCUACUUAAUUUUGAAUUUAUGAUACCUUUUGCUCUCAUACUAUCAACUCACGGCAGGGAAUGGACAGGUAAUCAGCAUCACAUACAAAGAGAGCUGUGCCCACUACUCUGCUGUCUAUAUAAAUGGUGUUGGCCGUCCAAG